rnacentral:rRNA from 1 species
AACGAACGCUGGCGGCAGGCCUAACACAUGCAAGUCGAACGCCGUAGCAAUACGGAGUGGCAGACGGGUGAGUAACGCGUGGGAACAUACCCCUCGGUUCGGAAUAACUCAGGGAAACUUGAGCUAAUACCGGAUACGUCCAAGGUUUUAAUCGACCUUGGAGAAAGAUUUAUCGCCGGAGGAUUGGCCCGCGUCUGAUUAGCUUGUUGGUGAGGUAAUGGCUCACCAAGGCGACGAUCAGAGCUGGUCUGAGAGGAUGAUCAGCCACAUUGGGACUGAGACACGGCCCAAACUCCUACGGGAGGCAGCAGUGGGGAAUAUUGGACAAUGGGCGUAAGCCUGAUCCAGCCAUGCCGCGUGAGUGAUGAAGGCCUUA